GUUGACCUCGAAUCAGGUAGGAAUACCCGCUGAACUUAAGCAUAUCAAUAAGCGGAGGAAAAGAAACCAACAGGGAUUGCCCCAGUAACGGCGAGUGAAGCGGCAACAGCUCAAAUUUGAAAUCUGGUCCCCAGGGCCCGAGUUGUAAUUUGUAGAGGAUGCUUUUGGCGAGGCGCCUUCCGAGUUCCCUGGAACGGGACGCCACAGAGGGUGAGAGCCCCGUCUGGUCGGAUGCCAAGCCUAUGUAAAGCUCCUUCGACGAGUCGAGUAGUUUGGGAAUGCUGCUCAAAAUGGGAGGUAUAUGUCUUCUAAAGCUAAAUACCGGCCAGAGACCGAUAGCGCACAAGUAGAGUGAUCGAAAGAUGAAAAGCACUUUGAAAAGAGGGUUAAAAAGUACGUGAAAUUGUUGAAAGGGAAGCGCCUAUGACCAGACUUGGGCCCGGUGAAUCAUCCAGCGUUCUCGCUGGUGCACUUUGCCGGGCACAGGCCAGCAUCAGUUUGGCGCGGGGGACAAAGGCUUCGGGAAUGGGGUCCCCUCCGGGGAAGGUUAUAGCCCGUUGGCCAUAACCUGGCCCGGAAUGAAGAACCGCU
rnacentral:rRNA from 1 species